rnacentral:rRNA from 1 species
UAGGGAAUCUGCCACAAUGGACGCAAGUCUGAUGGAGCAACGCCGCGUGAGUGAAGAAGGGUUUCGGCUCGUAAAGCUCUGUUGUUAAAGAAGAACGUGGGUAAGAGUAACUGUUUACCCAGUGACGGUAUUUAACCAGAAAGCCACGGCUAACUACGUGCCAG